rnacentral:rRNA from 1 species
GUGGGGAAUAUUGGACAAUGGGCGAAAGCCUGAUCCAGCCAUGCCGCGUGUGUGAAGAAGGUCUUCGGAUUGUAAAGCACUUUAAGUUGGGAGGAAGGGCAGUAAGUUAAUACCUUGCUGUUUUGACGUUACCGACAGAAUAAGCACCGGCUAACUUCGUGCCAGCAGCCGCGGUAAUACGAAGGGUGCAAGCGUUAAUCGGAAUUACUGGGCGUAAAGCGCGCGUAGGUGGUUUUGUAAGUUGGAGGUGAAAUCCCCUGGCUCAACCUGGGAACUGCCUCCAAAACUGCAUAACUAGAGUACGGUAGAGGGUAGUGGAAUUUCCUGUGUAGCGAUGAAAUGCGUAGGUAUAGGAAGGAACACCAGUGGCGAAGGCGACUACCUGGACUGAUACUGACACUGAGGUGCGAAAGCGUGGGGAGCAAACAGGAUUAGAUACCCCAGUAGUCC